UUAAGCGACUAAGCGUACACGGUGGAUGCCCUGGCAGUCAGAGGCGAUGAAGGACGUGCUAAUCUGCGAAAAGCGUCGGUAAGGUGAUAUGAACCGUUAUAACCGGCGAUGUCCGAAUGGGGAAACCCAGUGCAAUUCGUUGCACUAUCGUUAACUGAAUACAUAGGUUAACGAGGCGAACCGGGGGAACUGAAACAUCUAAGUACCCCGAGGAAAAGAAAUCAACCGAGAUUCCCCCAGUAGCGGCGAGCGAACGGGGAGCAGCCCAGAGUCUGAAUCAGCUUGUGUGUUAGUGGAACGGUCUGGAAAGUCCGACGGUACAGGGUGAUAGUCCCGUACACCAAAAUGCACAGGUUGUGAACUCGAAGAGUAGGGCGGGACACGUGGUAUCCUGUCUGAAUAUGGGGGGACCAUCCUCCAAGGCUAAAUACUCCUGACUGACCGAUAGUGAACCAGUACCGUGAGGGAAAGGCGAAAAGAACCCCGGCGAGGGGAGUGAAAAAGAACCUGAAACCGUGUACGUACAAGCAGUGGGAGCACCUUCGGGUGUGACUGCGUACCUUUUGUAUAAUGGGUCAGCGACUUAUAUUCUGUAGCAAGGUUAACCGUAUAGGGGAGCCGCAGGGAAACCGAGUCUUAACUGGGCGUUAAGUUGCAGGGUAUAGACCCGAAACCCGGUGAUCUAGCCAUGGGCAGGUUGAAGGUUGGGUAACACUAACUGGAGGACCGAACCGACUAAUGUUGAAAAAUUAGCGGAUGACUUGUGGCUGGGGGUGAAAGGCCAAUCAAACCGGGAGAUAGCUGGUUCUCCCCGAAAGCUAUUUAGGUAGCGCCUCGUGAAUUCAUCUUCGGGGGUAGAGCACUGUUUCGGCUAGGGGGUCAUCCCGACUUACCAACCCGAUGCAAACUACGAAUACCGAAGAAUGUUAUCACGGGAGACACACGGCGGGUGCUAACGUCCGUCGUGAAGAGGGAAACAACCCAGACCGCCAGCUAAGGUCCCAAAGUCAUGGUUAAGUGGGAAACGAUGUGGGAAGGCACAGACAGCCAGGAUGUUGGCUUAGAAGCAGCCAUCAUUUAAAGAAAGCGUAAUAGCUCACUGGUCGAGUCGGCCUGCGCGGAAGAUGUAACGGGGCUAAACCAUGCACCGAAGCUGCGGCAGCGACACUAUGUGUUGUUGGGUAGGGGAGCGUUCUGUAAGCCUGCGAAGGUGACCUGUGAGGGUUGCUGGAGGUAUCAGAAGUGCGAAUGCUGACAUAAGUAACGAUAAAGCGGGUGAAAAGCCCGCUCGCCGGAAGACCAAGGGUUCCUGUCCAACGUUAAUCGGGGCAGGGUGAGUCGACCCCUAAGGCGAGGCCGAAAGGCGUAGUCGAUGGGAAACAGGUUAAUAUUCCUGUACUUGGUGUUACUGCGAAGGGGGGACGGAGAAGGCUAUGUUAGCCGGGCGACGGUUGUCCCGGUUUAAGCAUGUAGGCUGGUUAUCCAGGCAAAUCCGGAUAAUCAAGGCUGAGGUGUGAUGACGAGGCACUACGGUGCUGAAGUAACAAAUGCCCUGCUUCCAGGAAAAGCCUCUAAGCAUCAGGUAACAUCAAAUCGUACCCCAAACCGACACAGGUGGUCAGGUAGAGAAUACCAAGGCGCUUGAGAGAACUCGGGUGAAGGAACUAGGCAAAAUGGUGCCGUAACUUCGGGAGAAGGCACGCUGGUGUGUAGGUGAAGUCCCUGCGGAUGGAGCUGAGACCAGUCGAAGAUACCAGCUGGCUGCAACUGUUUAUUAAAAACACAGCACUGUGCAAACACGAAAGUGGACGUAUACGGUGUGACGCCUGCCCGGUGCCGGAAGGUUAAUUGAUGGGGUUAUCCGUAAGGAGAAGCUCUUGAUCGAAGCCCCGGUAAACGGCGGCCGUAACUAUAACGGUCCUAAGGUAGCGAAAUUCCUUGUCGGGUAAGUUCCGACCUGCACGAAUGGCGUAAUGAUGGCCAGGCUGUCUCCACCCGAGACUCAGUGAAAUUGAACUCGCUGUGAAGAUGCAGUGUACCCGCGGCAAGACGGAAAGACCCCGUGAACCUUUACUAUAGCUUGACACUGAACAUUGAGCCUUGAUGUGUAGGAUAGGUGGGAGGCUUUGAAGCGUGGACGCCAGUCUGCGUGGAGCCAACCUUGAAAUACCACCCUUUAAUGUUUGAUGUUCUAACGUUGGCCCCUGACCGGGGUUGCGGACAGUGUCUGGUGGGUAGUUUGACUGGGGCGGUCUCCUCCCAAAGCGUAACGGAGGAGCACGAAGGUUAGCUAAUCCUGGUCGGACAUCAGGAGGUUAGUGCAAUGGCAUAAGCUAGCUUGACUGCGAGCGUGACGGCGCGAGCAGGUGCGAAAGCAGGUCAUAGUGAUCCGGUGGUUCUGAAUGGAAGGGCCAUCGCUCAACGGAUAAAAGGUACUCCGGGGAUAACAGGCUGAUACCGCCCAAGAGUUCAUAUCGACGGCGGUGUUUGGCACCUCGAUGUCGGCUCAUCACAUCCUGGGGCUGAAGUAGGUCCCAAGGGUAUGGCUGUUCGCCAUUUAAAGUGGUACGCGAGCUGGGUUUAGAACGUCGUGAGACAGUUCGGUCCCUAUCUGCCGUGGGCGCUGGAGAAUUGAGGGGGGCUGCUCCUAGUACGAGAGGACCGGAGUGGACGCAUCACUGGUGUUCGGGUUGUCAUGCCAAUGGCACUGCCCGGUAGCUAAAUGCGGAAGAGAUAAGUGCUGAAAGCAUCUAAGCACGAAACUUGCCCCGAGAUGAGUUCUCCCUGAGACUUUAAGUCUCCUGAAGGAACGUUGAAGACGACGACGUUGAUAGGCCGGGUGUGUAAGCGCAGCGAUGCGUUGAGCUAACCGGUACUAAUGAACCGUGAGGCUUAACCUU
rnacentral:rRNA from 1 species